UAGUACAGACGGGGUUUUACUAUGUUGGCCAGGCUGGUCUCGAACUCCUGACCUCGUGAUCUGCCCACCUUGGCCUCCCAAAGUGCUGCAGUUACAGGAGUGAGCUACUGCACCUGGCCAAUUUGGCUCCUUUCUUAAAGGUGAGAAAACUGAGACUGCAUUCACCUAUUUGUCAUUCAUUCAACAAAUGCUUACUGGAUAUUGACAAGGGCUCACUGUUAUUGAGAGCUAACUAUAUGUCAGGCACUGUUCUGGACCGUUUUCAGAUACUUACUCUUGAAACCCUCAAACACCCUUGUGAUGUAGCCAACUAAUGGGUAACAUCUCUAGUUACCCUA
rnacentral:lncRNA from 1 species